rnacentral:tRNA from 1 species
GCCCACGUGGCGAAAUUGGUAGACGUGCUAGCUUCAGGAGCUAGUGUCCUUAUGGACGUGUUGGUUCGAGUCCAAUCGUGGGUA